UCCUUGGUGGCUCAGCUGAUAAAGAAUCUGCCUGCAAUGCAGGAGACCCAGGUUCAAUCCCUGGGUCAGGAA
rnacentral:tRNA from 1 species